GAUGAACGCUGGCGGCGUGCUUAACACAUGCAAGUCGAACGGAAAGGCUCCUGCUUGCAGGGGUACUCGAGUGGCGAACGGGUGAGUAACACGUGGGUGAUCUGCCCUGCACUUCGGGAUAAGCCUGGGAAACUGGGUCUAAUACCGGAUAGGACGAUGUUUUGGAUGCCAUUGUUGAAAGUUUUUUCGGUGUGGGAUGAGCUCGCGGCCUAUCAGCUUGUUGGUGGGGUAAUGGCCUACCAAGGCGUCGACGGGUAGCCGGCCUGAGAGGGUGUACGGCCACAUUGGGACUGAGAUACGGCCCAGACUCCUACGGGAGGCAGCAGUGGGGAAUAUUACACAAUGGGCGGAAGCCUGAUGCAGCGACGCCGCGUGGGGGAUGACGGCCUUCGGGUUGUAAACUCCUUUCGCUAGGGACGAAGCGCAAGUGACGGUACCGGGAGAAGAAGCACCGGCUAACUACGUG
rnacentral:rRNA from 1 species